rnacentral:rRNA from 1 species
GACGAACGCUGGCGGCGUGCUUAACACAUGCAAGUCGAACGAAGAGCGAUGGAAGCUUGCUUCUAUCAAUCUUAGUGGCGAACGGGUGAGUAACGCGUAAUCAACCUGCCCUUCAGAGGGGGACAACAGUUGGAAACGACUGCUAAUACCGCAUACGAUCUAAUCUCGGCAUCGAGGAUAGAUGAAAGGUGGCCUCUACAUGUAAGCUAUCACUGAAGGAGGGGAUUGCGUCUGAUUAGCUAGUUGGAGGGGUAACGGCCCACCAAGGCGAUGAUCAGUAGCCGGUCUGAGAGGAUGAACGGCCACAUUGGGACUGAGACACGGCCCAGACUCCUACGGGAGGCAGCAGUGGGGAAUCUUCCGCAAUGGACGAAAGUCUGACGGAGCAACGCCGCGUGAGUGAUGACGGCCUUCGGGUUGUAAAGCUCUGUUAAUCGGGACGAAAGGCCUUCUUGCGAAUAUUGAGAAGGA